rnacentral:lncRNA from 1 species
CCUCGACCUUCCCUGACUGACGCGCCCGGUGCGCAUGAGCGCCUCUGCCCUUCUCCCCCUCCCUUUGCUGUUUGGGAUGAAAAUGGGACGCGUCCCCUAUGCGGAUAGGGCUAUUGGUCUGGCCGGGAAGACUAAGAAGAGUGUCUUCGCUNCUGUCAGCUAUAGGAAACUGCAAAGCGCCUUUCCUACUUUGGGACUGCAGCAAACCAGAGCUGCUAAACGGUGGCAGACAGAGGCUGGACUAACACCGUUUUAUUUAGGCGUUGCCCACAUACGAAAAGCGCGCGCAGCUCCUGUUAGCAGGGGUUGUCCGCUUGCCAGUCUAAAGCAAAGCUGGGUGAAGCAGAAGACAGGAGACCAACGGUCUUUGUCCAUAAAGUCAGUAGCAGUCAACCCUGACUUGAUAGUACCUAACAAUAGCAGCAACAAGCUACUCUGGAGAACUAGGGAUAAAGAGAAAAGCCUUGGUCAUUUAAUAUUGUCCUGCACUGAGUGGGUCCAUAUGGUUGGAACAGACAGCAUGGUUGUACUGGCACAUAGAUGUUAAUUGAGAAGCUUUUUAUAUAUAAAUAACAGGACACCAAGGAGAUUGAUCCUGAGAACAAUAAGUUUCAAUCAUCAGUAAAACUGGAAGUUAUGCAUUUGAGUUCAUAUAUACUUUGCUUACAUCUCAGUUCCUGAAAUUUUGCAUGGAAGUAACUUGGGCGAUGUGCUUACAUGUAUUUUAGAGUGAAAUGUGGUGAAAAAUUCAUGCAUGUACCAUCACCCUUGAUAGGCAACACAAUUAUCACCACCUGACUAUAAAGCAUCUCAUGAGAAUUUAUUCUGUAUAAUCUAUGUAUUGUAAUCAUAGACUCAAAUCUGCCAGUUUUGACAAUGCAGAAUAAAAAAUGAGGACUAUAGCUAUAGGUUAUUGUC